UUCGGAUGUGGAGAUUAAGAGAAAACUGCAGAGGUCCUCGGGGUCCGAGAGCGAGAGCGAGGAUUCGGAUGACGACAAGAGGCCCAAGCGCAGAGGGUGCCCCCGGAAUGUUCGGAAGGAUAUGGUGGAAGGGUUCACGGACACAGAAAUCCGGAGAUUUAUCAAGGCCUAUAAGAAAUUUGGUGUUCCUCUGGAGAGGCUGGAGUGCAUCGCCAGAGAUGCUGAGCUGGUGGACAAGUCCGUGGCCAACUUGAAG